rnacentral:rRNA from 1 species
GUGGGGAAUAUUGCACAAUGGGCGAAAGCCUGAUACAGCAACGCCGCGUGAGGGACGACGGCCUUCGGGUUGUAAACCUCUUUUAGUAGGGAAGAAGCGAAAGUGACGGUACCUGCAGAAAAAGCACCGGCUAACUACGUGCCAGCAGCCGCGGUAAUACGUAGGGUGCAAGCGUUAUCCGGAAUUAUUGGGCGUAAAGAGCUCGUAGGCGGUCUGUCGCGUCUGCUGUGAAAACUGGAGGCUCAACCUCCAGCCUGCAGUGGGUACGGGCAGACUAGAGUGCGGUAGGGGAGAUUGGAAUUCCUGGUGUAGCGGUGGAAUGCGCAGAUAUCAGGAGGAACACCGAUGGCGAAGGCAGAUCUCUGGGCCGUAACUGACGCUGAGGAGCGAAAGCGUGGGGAGCGAACAGGAUUAGAUACCCUUGUAGUCC